rnacentral:rRNA from 1 species
UACGUAGGGCGCAAGCGUUGUCCGGAAUUAUUGGGCGUAAAGAGCUCGUAGGCGGCCAGUUGCGUCUGCUGUGAAAUCCCGGGGCUCAACCCCGGGCGUGCAGUGGAUACGGGCUGGCUGGAGGCAGGCAGGGGAGAACGGAAUUCCCGGUGUAGCGGUGAAAUGCGCAGAUAUCGGGAGGAACACCGGUGGCGAAGGCGGUUCUCUGGGCCUGUUCUGACGCUGAGGAGCGAAAGCGUGGGGAGCGAACAGG